ACGGCCGUACCAUGCUGAAUAUACCGGUUCUCGUUAAAUCACCGAAGUCAAGCAUCAUUGGGCGCGAUCAGUACUUGGGUGGGUGACCACCUGGGAACACCGCGUGCCGUU
rnacentral:rRNA from 1 species